rnacentral:tRNA from 1 species
AGCUUUAUAGUUAAUAUAUAACAUUAGAUUGCAAUUCUAAAGGAGUAAAUAAAAAAAUUACUAAGGCUU